rnacentral:lncRNA from 1 species
GUCCCUGCUGAGCAGGACAAGGACUGAGGACAUCCGCGGAGGGUUCCACAUAGAUGUAACCGGCUGAGGCUGGAGCAGAUGCUGUCGGGUAUGUGGGGAGGAACACUGUUACCUGGCAGCUCAGAGGUCCCUGCUGAGCAGGUCAGGGAUUGAGGACAUCUGUGGAGGAUUUCGCACAGAUGUAACCUGCUGAGACUGGAGCAGAUGCUGUCAGUGGUCCACAGAGCAUCCACUCCAAUGUCUGAAAUAUGCCGGCUGCUCCCCAGACGAAUGAGAACAAGAAGCUAGAAUAAGAGAGGAGGGCUGUGUUGAUGUGAAAAGUAUCAAAAUAAAACUCCCUGGAAAACAAGAAGCAACCGGAGGAGCGUAAGUGUGGAUGACUUAAACGAUAUAGAAUUGAACCCGAGUUUUCAUCUCUUCCUUUAAUGUUGAAGCGUGUGGGGAAGUAGGUGGGAGGCUGAGAGUGGUUGGAACUUAGGCUUUGAGAGCGUCUUUCUGGGUGUUCAGAAUGCAGGAGACUCUGGGUU